rnacentral:rRNA from 1 species
GAUGAACGCUGGCGGCGUGCCUAAUACAUGCAAGUCGAGCGAACGGACGAGGAGCUUGCUUCUCUGAUGUUAGCGGCGGACGGGUGAGUAACACGUGGAUAACCUACCUAUAAGACUGGGAUAACUUCGGGAAACCGUAGCUAAUACCGGAUAAUAUUUUGAACCGCAUGGUUCAAAAGUGAAAGACGGUCUUGCUGUCACUUAUAGAUGGAUCCGCGCUGCAUUAGCUAGUUGGUAAGGUAACGGCUUACCAAGGCAACGAUGCAUAGCCGACCUGAGAGGGGGAUCGGCCACCCCGAACCUGGAACCCGUCCCAGCCUCCUCCGGGGGGCAGCAGUGGGAAAUCUUCCGCAAUGGGCGAAAGCCUGCCGGAGCACCGCCGCGUGGGUGAUGAAGUUCUUCGGGUCGUAAAACUCUGUUAUUGGGGAAAAAAUUUUGGUUAAGUAACUGUCCCCUUUUUGGCUGUACCAAAUCAGAAACCCCCGGCUAACUCCGG